UCUUUGCUAGUAUAUCGGUUAGUACACGCGCCUGUCAUGAGCUGAGCUACUUUUGUUGUAUCCCUUUCGCGCGAAAGCUGGGUUCGACUCCCAGGCAGAGAG